UUUUCACAUGCAGGUAUUUAUUUCAUGGACAGCUAUAGUGAAUCGGCGAUUGAUUUCCUAGCCUGCAGGUCAUUGCGCAACGUCUAUUACAUACUGAUCACAGUCUGAAUCUGCUGCAAGCUGUAAAAUAAGCCUCCUUUUUCUCUGAAGUUUUGGGCAGGAUUUCAGGUUACGAGAAGCGCGUGAUGCAGUUAAACGGACAGUGGCUUUAGCCAGGGGAUGGCACUUUCUAAUUAGUUGGGGAUAUGAUCAAUUGAUCAUGCAUUCCCAAUGUUAAAAGUGAUGGGGUCAUGGGAAAUGGCCGGGCUGUUAUCGGCCAUGCCUUCGCUGUCCAUCGGCCAUUUCAUUCCAUCAGCCAAUGGGAUGGGAGCAUUUGGAGCCUUAAUGCCGUCCUCUCUCUCCUCCUCUAUUCUCUCACUCUCUCCCCCUCAUCAUUAUCUUUUUUUUUUCUGAAAGGCCAAAAUUUUAAAAUAUAAUUUUUAAUAUUAACUUUUAGGUAUAACCUCUUUGUCUUCUUAGAAAUCAUGAAAAUAAGUAUGGGCAAUGAAAAUAACCCCUAAAACUAAUUUAGGAUUAAUUUUCUUAAAUUCAAAAAUGAAAUACAUCUUUUUAGAAACUAGCUGACAUGACUUUGCAUUGCAAUCGGUUUUUUGGCUAACCAGCUGCUUUUUUUAGGGGGGAGGUAGGGGAGGUAGUUGUGUGUUUCAUGCGAUGUGGAGAGGAAUGGACGGACUAUUCCGCUUUUAAGUAGUAGAUAAUUAAAAUAAUGUCAAGAGAGCUCUUAGACUCUGUUCUUUGUCAAGGUGGACUAUGUUCGAUGAAAUUGUUUUAAGAUUUUUUUUUAUAUAUAAUUGCUAAGUUACAAAUG
rnacentral:sRNA from 1 species